AUUUAAAUGAAUCUCAAUUCACUAAUGAUGACUUGACCUAUGAAAUAUUAGAAACUAUUUUUAAUUUUCAUCAUAUUUUGAUCAAAGAUUUCCUAAGUCAUCGAUUGAUGAGAUAACUUAGGAUGACAUCUCUCCUUAUCGAGAGUGAUCGAUUUUUUGUUGACUUACUAUCUUCAUAUAUAUUUUAUUAUAUCCAGAACACCCUAUACAUAUCUUAGAAAGUCAUGAUAGAAAAUGAACCAAAAUAUAGAUCUAUAUAUACAAGGUACUGUGGUAGCCUC
rnacentral:lncRNA from 1 species